UGCCUUGUUAAAAGACAAGCCGGAUUUGUGUUUAAUGAUCUCGAAAGAAACGUAAUUGACUGGGCAUUACCAUCCAAAAGGUCCCGAAGCACACAGUGUUUACCGUGGGCGCGUUCAAAAAUAAGCCUGCAAACUUUAGUUGGGAAACUCAAGAGAUGCAAAGAAAAAAAAAAAAAUGAUUUAAACUGUACAUUCCGGCUUCCUUGGAGAGCAUCACACCAAGUGUCACGUGACUUUGAAAUCUAGCGUUAAGGUCACAACAGUAGAUUUUAAAGGCGAAAUUUUUCGGCUUCCAGAAUAAUUUUAUUUAGUAAUUAACAAGGUUUGACAAAACGCUAGAAUGUCUGUCUUAUGAAAAUCUAUAUAUAAAAAAAAGUGGUAACGGCCGAUACUAAACGGAAAGCGCUAAAGAAGCGUAGCCUGCUGUUGCUAUGGUUACCUUCUCAUGCAAACGCGAAUUUUGUGCUUGAGCGCCUAUUUUAGCGUAUUCUGUCUAACUUUCUUGGUUAAUGAAACGUUGUUUUAUAUAUUUAUGCGUUAAACGAUUACAUUUCUCUUAGACUCCCCACCCUGCAAACCCCCUUCCCGUAAUUCGCACCCUGAUCGUUUUGUUAGGAUACUUGUCGCUGUCCGUUCAGCACCACGAGCGCCUGAACCAUUGAAGACGUCGAGACUCCAGCACGACACUAAUUCAUUAGCUACUGUAAAUUACGCGAGAGAGACUAGGCCUGCAAUUUCUGUUGGAAGCAGAAGGAUACGUUAAACGUCAUAAAGCAGUGCAUACAAACGUGAAGCCUGAACAUGCAUUAGAAUUAACCGCUAGAGGGCGAUCGAGCAUUGUUGAAGGCGAUAAACCCACACUGAAACAUUGGUGGGAGCCAAGACGAGCCAUCACAUGGUCUCUCAACAUGCGCUCUGUAGGGCCCCUAACGUUCGAGUUAUGCCAUCAGACUAAUGCGUUGUGACUGCUCCUCUCUCUUGUGACAAAGUCUUGCAGCUGCCUCCAAA
ensembl:lncRNA